CCUACGGGCGGCAGCAGUAGGGAAUCUUUCACAAUGGGCGAAAGCCUGAUGGAGCAACGCCGCGUGCAGGAUGAAGGCCUUCGGGUUGUAAACUGCUUUUAUAAGCGAGAAAGAUGAUGGUAACUUAUGAAUAAGGAUCGGCUAACUACGUGCCAGCAGCCGCGGUCAUACGUAGGAUCCGAGCAUUAUCCGGAGUGACUGGGUGUAAAGAGUUGCGUAGGUGGCCUAAUAAGUAGCUAGUGAAAUCUGGUGGCUCAACCAUUCAGACUAUUAGCUAAACUGUUAAGCUCGAGACCGUUAGGGGUAACUGGAAUUUCUAGUGUCGGCGUGAAAUCCGUAGAUAUUAGAAGGAACACCAAUCGCGUAGGCAGGUUGCUGGGACGGUUCUGACACUCAGGCACGAAAGCGUCGGGAGCAAACGGGAUUAGAUACCCUGGUAGUC
rnacentral:rRNA from 1 species